rnacentral:rRNA from 1 species
CCUACGGGAGGCAGCAGUGGGGAAUAUUGCACAAUGGGCGCAAGCCUGAUGCAGCCAUGUCGCGUGUAUGAAGAAGGCCUUCGGGUUGUAAAGUACUUUCAGUUGUGAGGAAGGGGGUGUUGUUAAUAGCAACAUCUCUUGACGUUAGCAACAGAAGAAGCACCGGCUAACUCCGUGCCAGCAGCCGCGGUAAU